AGAAAGUGGGGUGGUGGAGGAGGGGCCACUGGAGCUUGGAGGACGAGAAAGCAGUUCAGUUGGUAUCGAUUUCCUGAAGUAUGUCAGUAGGCUGGUCCAGUUGUCGAUUAAUGAAGGACACUAGGUGGUUGAACUGAGUUUUUUGUGAUUCACUAUUUUUUAAAAACUGUUCUCAGAGAGCGUGUUGGGUGAACUUGGUCUGAUGGCUCCGUCAUAAUUAUGGAUGUUUCUGAUCCACGUACAAGCAGGCCCUGAGAACUACUGGAACAUAUGUGAGGAUGGCCGCUCAAGGUGAACCACUUCCUGUUCCAGUCCCUAUGGUUGCCCCGAGUCACCAGAUUCAGGAAUGAAGUGAAUGACAUUUCCUUGGACAAACCUGAAAACCCAACUGUGUGGAUCUGUUCGGUGGAAGCUCAAGGACCUGACAAGGAUGUUCUACCCAGCUCUGCUCUGAAGGACCAGACUACAACAUUUGUUUAAAUACAAAAUUGAAUGGGUAGAGAAAUUAGCAGAAAAGACAUGUGAUCUGCAUGCCUCGCUAUUGCAGCGCACAGUGUAGCAUUAUUGUCCCCUUGUCAUGAAAAGUAAAUAGCAUUGUUGAAUAAAAAAUGUUCUAUUUAUUUAGGACUUCAUUUUACAGCUGUUGCUUCAGUUAGAUCCAUUACCUGUAAGCCAUACUCGGGCAAAAUUACAAGAAAUAAAGGCUUGUGCAGUGAAUCUAUAGAAUAUCUGUGUUUGACUUUCUUAAAUAAGUAACAAAAUGUUAAACUUUCUCAAAAUAUUUAAAUUUGUUGAGCUGUGUAUGUAAGUAAUGAUAAAACACACUGAUACAUACAUAAUGGAAAAAUGGAAAAACAUGCUCCUAUAAUCUUAUCCUCUAUUUUUACCCUGAAAUAUAAGAAAAUAGCAUUUAUUUAUUCUCAUCUGUAGGAAAAAUGCCAGCAGUGGAGGCUCAUUCAGCGGUAGGGGAUUCUCUCACCAUACUGUCUUUAUCAGAGAGGUCACAACGGUGCAUCGCUUUCUGCUAGGAGUCUGGGGGGAGUGGUGGCCCAGUUGGUAGAAAUCUGGGUGUUUGCAUCUUGGAGAGGCUUCAAGGUUCUGUGUUCAAAUCCAGACUGCCACUCUGGGUCCCUUAGCAAGACCAGAAUGCUCCCUGGGCAGCACACAGUGGCAGCCCACUGCUCCCUGAGGGAUGAGUUAAAUGCAGAGUAUGAAUUACAUUGGGAUGGUUGUUGCAGUGACAAAUACAAAUAUCUUGUAGGUCCGGGUUGAUCGGGGCUUGACGGACUGACAAUGGGGCUCCUUCUGAUGUCAGGCCCUCUGUUGACAGCACUCCUACUGCAUGAGGCGCCAUAGCAUCAUUCUGGUAACUUUUUCAAAUCAAUAGAACGACAGCAUGCACAUAUGUUUCAAGCACAAUAAUCACAUGCUUUCUUUCUUGGUAGGACAUCCCUACGUCGUCCCUUCCUUGACAGUGAUUGUUGAUGAUUUACUACAACUCAGUAUCCUAGAAGGGAAAGCAGUCAAACGUUUAACCCACAGAUGGUACAUUUUAGCACGUCAGCUACGGUACUCUCAGAGGGUGAAAUUUUACAAUUCAUGAUUUAUUUGUUAAAUGGGAAGAAACCGUCCAAGCAAUGUCGAAAUUGUUGUAAAAGGUUAUUAUAUUAAUAAGGCA